GCACGUUAACACCCCCAAACGGCGAUCAAAAUUUAGCCUUUGUUGCAUUCGCAAUGCAUUCACAGCGCUUGCACAGUCUGCCGAUAAUCACGCGUUUUGCGAUUUUGCAACUGAAUCUGAAUAAAGCCCAUAGUGCGCAAAUACUAGAAGGACAUUUACUGUAAUAUGUUAUAGAUGCUGUUAGAGAAGAUAAUAUACACGUUCCCUUUGAUUAUUUUUACAAUAUUUAGCCUACAAUAAUGUGGUUAUUGCACAGAGAUCGUCCUCUUUAUGUUUGAAGAUCACAUUACAUGAGUGAAGAGCUGUUUGGAUUUUUACAGAGUUGUCCGAUCUUUAGUGGACUGCACAUGUGCAUUGAUAGAGCUGCGAGGU